AGCAGCCGAGGCCACAGCCCUUGGUCCUCACUAGAGGCCUGAUGUCUUGUGCUGGCCCCAGACUGACCUCUAGAUUUGCAGGCCACCGAACCCCUGGGCUGUGCGUGACCUUCCCUCCUGGCCAGGCCCCACUGGCCAUCUGAGUGUCUAGGAAGUGCCCUGGCUCCCUGUACCUGCCCCCUUCCCAGCCUCCAGCAGCUGCCCGCCCCUGGCAGGGUGGCCCGAGAAGGUGCUACACUCCGAUCCUGCUUGCUGUCCCCUCACUGUGCCUUGGCCGGCUGGGGUUCCUGGGGAUGGGAUUUGAUGCCAGUCACAAAUCACAUUGCCAGGGAUUUCCAACUGACCUUGUGCUCUGCCUUGGAGGCUCCAGUUGCCAAGGAUGACUGCCUAUCUUGGGUACUGGGUGAGAGAGAAGCCCAGCAUGACAACUGGCCUGAGGAGCAGGGCUUAGCUGCUUGUGAGCAAGGUCCGCAGCAAGUCGUGUUCACAGUGGCUAAGUUCCGCUCCCCCGGGCCCCAUCUCCUCAGACUCUGCUGCCCACCCUGCUCUGCCUCCUUCUCCCUGGGCUCCGCCUCCUGUGCCUACUGAGCUGAAACAGUUGAUUCCAGUGCACUGGCUCAGUUCAGCAGGAACAGGAGUCCAGCCCCCUAGGAGCUGGCACCCCUACAGAAUGUCUGUCAUGACUUGAGACCUGGAUGGAGUAGGGACCUGGGAGGAGUGGGCCCAUCAGUUGUGCCUAGGCCCAGCUAUCUGCUAUAGCCCUUCCUCUAACCUUCAUCUGGAUAUGCCACUCCACAUGGCCACACCUUGAGAUUUUUUAUGGUCCCCACAGAGAAGAGAUGGAUGAGUGGCUGACCCUUGCAUAAAAGGCAGGCCAGCUGUACCCCCUCAGGGCCUGCAGCCCUUCUUCUCAUAAGCCCAGCGGGGCCCAGGCACCACCCCUUACACCUUCCCUGCAGUCACUUACCCAAGAGGAAGCUGCUUUUGGCCCUCUGACAGUUAAAUGCCAACUCCCAGCUUCCGCAACAAAGCACUGACCUUACCCGGUGUGCUUGGUGCCCCACGAGGCCUGCAGCUUUCCACUGGAGACAGUGAUUCAGGGAGCAAGUCCACAGGGCCCUAAAAGGGUAGGAACAGAUCCACCCCUUCCCCUGGUACUGGGGCUUGCUGGAGUAGUCUCCAGGCUUGGAAGUUAAAAAGUUGCCUGUAUCUCCAAACCAGACAGGAUGCAGGCAUUGGCAUGGGGUUAAGUUACACUUCCCAGAUCACCCAGUGUCCCCUCCCAACCCUGGGUAGCGGCAAAUGGAGGCUUGGGUGGAAGAACAGAGAGGUGGAGCUUGUAUUGAAUGUUGUGCCUGUUUUCCAAUUAAAUAAAAGCUUCCCAGCUUCAUUCCUUAA